rnacentral:rRNA from 1 species
UAAGACCUUGCGUUAAUGGAGCGGCCGAUAUCUGAUUAGCUAGUUGGUGGGGUAAAGGCCCACCAAGGCUUUGAUCAGUAGCUGGUCUGAGAGGACGACCAGCCACACUGGAACUGAGACACGGUCCAGACUCCUACGGGAGGCAGCAGUGGGGAAUUUUGGACAAUGGGGGCAACCCUGAUCCAGCCAUUCCGCGUGAGUGAAGAAGGCCUUCGGGUUGUAAAGCUCUUUCGCAAGGGAAGAAAACUUAUCCAUUGACACCGGGUGAGGCUGACGGUACCUUGAUAAGAAGCACCGGCUAACUACGUGCCAGCAGCCGCGGUAAUACGUAGGGUGCAAGCGUUAAUCGGAAUUACUGGGCGUAAAGCGUGCGCAGGCGGUUCUGUAAGUCAGAUGUGAAAGCCCCGGGCUCAACCUGGGAACU